rnacentral:lncRNA from 1 species
UGCAGUUCUUCAUACUGGAGGCCAAAAAAGGUGUCAGUGAAUAUUGAGAGCCCUGACCUGCUUGGUAACUGUUGGUCUCAGAGCCACCCUCUGCUGUAAGUCCCAUGAGAGCUGAGUGCACCAGGUCCCAGAGCUCUGAGGGCCCAGUGGGCCAGGACUCUCCAGGGGAGGAGGUCCACCCCCAGCCCGCACAUCCAAGCUAGUUGUCUGCUCACUUUGGUCUGGUACCAGGACUCAGCCUCAGCCCGACUCUUCUGGGCGAUCAGCUCAUACUGGGCUUUGACUUCAGCGAUGAUGCUGUCCAAGUCCAGGUUGCGGUUGUUGUCCAUGGACAGUAUCACGUUGGUGUCAGACACAUUGGUCUGCACUUGGCUCAGCUCCUGUAGAAAUAAGAGCAGCUGCCACCACAGUCCUGCCCUAUGCCUUGGGCAGAAACAAAGGAUACAGAAUAGGAUCCUUGCAUGGCCUCAGAGGGACAUCCUAGGCUUCCUCGGGAUCCUCCCUGGAAAGAAUCUACCACUGGAAAAAGAACCUCCAUCUCCCCGUUGUGAGGUGGGCUUACAUCUUCCCUGUUGAUCCUCAGGUCUUCUGCUGAGAGAUCAGGGGACCGAGGGGAGUGUGCCUCCCUGCCCUGUGCCACCCGGGCUCUGUGCUAACAUAGUCACUGGUUUCUGUGAUCAUCACAUCCCCAGGAGACAAGCACUCCCCAGCUAGGCUCCUUCAGGCUAUUUCUGUGCCCUCAAAGGAAAGGGGGAUGACACAGAAGUCAGACACUGACAAAGUCCCAAUGGCUUCCGACAAUCAGUGCACUAGACCACGGUGUUCUCAAGACCUCCUUGUAUUUCUAUGGCCACUGUCCUUUUAAAGGAUGCAUUGGGGACAACAAAGGUGAUGUAAAGGUAACAGGAAGUUGAGGAUCUGUGAUCUGUUCACUGGGUUAUGACAUUGGCUCCCAGAGGGCUCUGCCUCUGUCAUCCUUUGACUCCCUGAGCUUCUACCAGACUGCCCUCAACUCCAGCUGUCAACCACCUUCCAUAGUCUCAUUGUGACCCAUAGCAUGCCACACACACAUACACAAACACACACACAUGUACACAUGCACAUGCAUGCAUAUACACACAUAUACAUGUGCAUACACACAUAACAUAUACACAUACAACCCAAGGGAAUAUGGCAGGCAGAGAGAGAGAGAGACCAAAACCAUAUCUGACAGCUUGGGAUGUUGACUAUGUUCUAAGCACAAGGGUAGGGACAAAUGGGUCACUGAAGAGCAGAAGUCAGGGGACAAGGGUUCUGAGCUCACCCUCCAGAGGUGUCAUGGCCAAACCUAAAGCAUAGAAUGGGAUCCUGAGUGCCAGGUUAGCCAACAUGAAUGGCAAAAGAACUGUUGCCCUGAUGGAUGGGGAAGCCCUUUGACAAGAAGUCAUUCCCCCAGCAUAGUCCACAGCUUCCUUUCCUUUCUACAUCUUCCCCUAAAUCUCCCAACUUGCCAACUUCCUGCCAUCACAGACACUGUGCCCUUUAAUGCCAAAGCCCUGCCAAGCUGAGCCCUUCCUGUGCCAGCUCUUCCUUAAGGUCCGUUGCAGGUGUGUCCUCAGAGGGCCUCCCCUCCCCUGCCCUGCAAAAGAACCCCCACCACAGCCUCCAGCCGUGCCUCGGCACCUUGGGCCUGUCCCAACAGGGCUUUCCUUACUUAAGAACCUGACCCUAAGGGCAGGAACUCUGUCUUACUUGUUAUGUGGGAGGAACUCUAUAAACGCUUGUUAAGUAAGCCAGGUAAAAAUGAAAGAAAGGGAUGCUGGGUAAGCCAGCUCCAUGCUUCGGGUAGAGCAGAGCUAAAUGUGAAACAUGAGCACAGACAAUCGAGCAUGAGGGUGGACAGGGACAUCCUAACUCGUGAGAAACCACCGUGAAACCCAGCAAAGAGAAAAGGGAAAACACCCCAAAGCACAGAGGGGCCAUCGUAGGAGGCCCAGGGAAGACUAAGGAGACGAACACUGAGUCAUCCCAAAGAAACAAGGAUGAGGAGUCCAGAACCCAACAGCAAAGCCCUGCUCCUCUGAGGGAAGGAGUCAGGAUCCUGCAGGUUAAGGAAGUAUAAAACAUGGGAGGAGGCACAGAGCCACCAAGAGUCACCUGAGCAUACAUGAAACCAAAUAGGUUUCAUUUUUCACGUAUUGCUGGAUAGCCAAAAACUUACCGUGGACAUUAUCUGACCACUCCUUUCUUUCCAGAAAUCCCAAAAAUGAGACAAGAGGCACUGGGGGGGAUCGCUCAGGGAGUAAACAUCUGUUGUGUAAGCAUGAGUUAGGAUCCUAAGCAACUAUGUCAAAAGCUACACAUCUUAGUGUAUGCCUUGUGACAACACCAUUGGAGUGAAGGGAGACAAGUGGAUCCCCAACCAGACUCAUUGCUCAAUCUCUUCAAGACAGUAAGGUGAGAGACCUUGCC